rnacentral:rRNA from 1 species
UACGUAGGGCGCAAGCGUUGUCCGGAAUUAUUGGGCGUAAAGAGCUCGUAGGCGGCCAGUUGCGUCCGCUGUGAAAUCCCGGGGCUUAACCCCGGGCGUGCAGUGGAUACGGGCUGGCUAGAGGCAGGCAGGGGAGAACGGAAUUCCCGGUGUAGCGGUGAAAUGCGCAGAUAUCGGGAGGAACACCGGUGGCGAAGGCGGUUCUCUGGGCAUGUACUGACGCUGAGGAGCGAAAGUGUGGGGAGCGAACAGG